AAGGCACUAGUAAAAAAUUACACUGCCUUGUCAAGGCAGAAUUGUAGGUUAAAACCCUGCGUGCCUUG
rnacentral:tRNA from 1 species